UUUUUUUUUUUGUAAUGGGUGUUUAAUGAUUCCUAUGAGUUACCACAUUUGUGAUUUUCUAUGUUUUCUCAGGUUUGUGAAGAGGCAUUCACCAUUUACCUAUAUUAUUGUGGACAAUAAAACGUAAGUAUUUGGAUUUCCAUGCUCCUCCUCUGUAAUUGAGUGUAAAGGUCGUCUUGUUUUUGGCUUGUUUUGGUUUUCAUCUUGCCCCUGUAUAUUCUUUAUCUCUUUUUUUUCGUUACUGGUGUUAAACUUUACUCUAAAAAAAUAUGGACGGUGUUGGAACUUUGGAAAAAUGCAAAUGCAGUAUCCUUUGAUUUUGAUUGCAUAAUUUGGAUUUAGUGAUAAUCAUUGAGGUAGCCUUGCACCGUUUGGAUUUUGAUAGCAUAUUGCAAAUGUGUGUAUUUUGUGGCGAAAAAUCUAUGUGAGAAUAUGUAUGGUUAUUCUCUAUUGUCCUUCAUUUUUUAUGUUUGUUGUCCUUCAAUUUUAGAAAUUUGUUAUUUUCUUAGAAGAUCAUCAUUGCUAAACAUAACUUUAUUUUUUAGAAGAUCAUCAUUGAUAAACAUCAUCGGCCAUGUUUAUGAUCAUAGAAAACUUAUCUUCUGAUGCAUGCUAAUAUGAUUCUUGUACCAAGAUUUUCAAUAUCUUCAACUCAUGUAGCAUUUUUUUUUAUGUGAGAUCUUAAGACCCAGAUAUGCAAGCAGCUUUAACUCUCCUUCAAACGCUGUUUGAUCGUUUGUAUGUUGACAAGCAAAUGCAAUGGGUCUUAAACCCUUUUCUUCCAUUUCUCUAAUCUUCUUUUCCAGGUUUUGCAUGAAUAUGAUCUACUAUAGUGUUGAAGCUACCAAGUAAGUGAUUAUAUUUACACAACAAUUAUGAGGGUCUUUUUACAACGAGUUAUAUUGUUAUGUUUAAUGUUACUCUUAUGAGUUUUUAUUGAUAUGUUUAAUAUUACUUUGUUGCUUCAUACCCAAGUUGUUGAUUCGUAUCUCUCUAUUGUUCGUCCCUAUUUUGAUAUUGAUUUUUCCUUUGUUUUUUUGUUUAUUACCUAAAUUGUGCUAUUUGCUAUCAUUUUCCUUCUUUUAAAUAUUAUUUGGCAUUUGACCUUUUGAUUUUGUUUGGGCACUUUUGGUGUCCUAUUUGUUUUAGUUUUGUUAUAAAACAGAAGUUUUGACUUCUAUGGUCAACAUGAAAGAUGAAAACAAAGGUCGUUGGUUCAUAAAGCUAAGCUAGAUUGAGAUAUUGAGAGUGUUGUUUUUGGCGACAGAUUAGAGCGAUUUUCAGGUGAGUUUCAGUUGUGUGUGUUCUGUUUUAGUUGUGGGUUCUUUUAGGAUUCUUCUAACCUGUGCACAUUUUUAGCAGUUAGUAUGAUAAGCAUACUAUCUAUACACCUAAAACCCAUUGUACUAUUUAUUAUAUUGACGUAUUCAAUAUUGAUUGUGGACUGUGUAUUCUAGAGAGAAAGAGUGAGCUGGGUAUGUUUUUGGUAUGUGUAUUCUAGAGAGAAAGAGUAGCAGUAUGUUUUUGUUUGCUGUGUUUGCCUAAUAUAGUCCUCAUGGUCUUCUCUUUUCAUUUCAUGGAAUCAAGUGUUGAAGUUC